UCUACUCAACACCCGGUCUAUUGAUCGCACACCACACGAACUCGGUUUGUAGCCCACGUCACGGUUCUUCUCUCUCACCCAUCACGCUUCCCUCGGCCAUUCCUCUUCUCCCUCAGACUCGAAACGAACCUCCCUCACCCCCAGUUCGUUGCAACACCCCAGCGCCCCACAGACCACACGAAGCAACGACAUCUCUUCUCCCUCUCCCCGAUCGUCAGACUCUUCCCUCACCCAUCACUCCCUGACGCCCCUCACCCAAGCCCAUUCACGUCUCUCACCGCUGAAACCCUAGAAGAUCUCUUCUCCCCACCCCCAACAAAAAUGUGAAUAAAUAUUGGACCAGUUUUUCUGUCUUCCUCGUUUCACUUUCUUCCUCUUUAGCCCCCCUCUUUUCACACUUCUCUUUUGUACCCAUUUUCUUAAUCCUUUUCAUUCUUCACAACUCGAACCAUGGAGGAGGCUAAUGUGAUGGAAGCUAAAGAUGGAACACUUGCUGUGGCUUCUACUUUUACUGGCGGUAAUUCCAAAGUUGUCUUGUGCCCGAAAUGAAGACUCGAGAGUUAGUUGUAUAUAGAACCAAUUGAAUACUUCUGGGUGGUACUGGAGUCAGUUGAUCUCUUGUAAUACUUCUGAAGUCCAAGAAUGUAAUGGCAUUUUCAGUUUGGUAGUUGUAAUAUUUUGUAUAUGAUUAUGUAAUAUGAGCUUUACUUGUAAUAUUUUCAUUUGGAUGACAGCCGUUA